rnacentral:rRNA from 1 species
UACGUAGGGGGCUAGCGUUGUCCGGAUUUAUUGGGCGUAAAGAGCGCGUAGGCGGCCUGGUAGGUCUGCUGUGAAAACUCGAGGCUCAACCUCGAGAUGUCGGCGGAAACCAUCUGGCUAGAGUCCGGAAGAGGAGAGUGGAAUUCCUGGUGUAGCGGUGAAAUGCGCAGAUAUCAGGAAGAACACCUAUGGCGAAGGCAGCUCUCUGGGACGGUACUGACGCUGAGACGCGAAAGCGUGGGGAGCGAACAGG